GCGCAUAAUAAAAUGAUGCGAGAGCGCUGCACGUAUAUCAUACCAUAAGACGCACAUACAGCACAUACACGAUGGGGAAUAAAUGUUGCCCGGCCAUCUCGGAGUAUGCGGUGAAAAAUCGUUUUACCGUCGGAAAAUGUUAUAAUCGCCAACGUCAAGAGGAGAAUAAUUUUUCAGUGUUAUAAUGCUGAAACCGGCUACGUAAUACUACCGUAUACGUCAUCGAAGAAAUUAUUCUUCGACGAGGGAAGAGAAUUCGAUCGGUGGCGUGCGUGGCGUUAUCUGGAACGCAAUAGUCGGGAAAUAUCUUAUCGAUGGCAUAUAGCGCACGAAUGUUUAUUGCCAAUGAAGUUUGAGUGUUCCGUGUGACAAGAAACAUUUCAUGCGAAUAGACUUUACACGUGGUGUGUAGUACCGCAUUCAGAAUAUUAUAACGAAUUAUCGGAUAUUACUUGAUGGACUAUGGAACAUAAUAACAUUGCUAGCCAAUUGUUCGACACCUAUAAGAUUCAUUGCGAAUCGGACAUAAGAAACAAAUAAAGUAAAUCGUUAUCUGCGAGGAAAUUUGUAACACAAUGAACAUAGAUGGUUACACAACACGGCCUCUUCCGAGUUAGGCUGACCCACAGCAAUAAAAUCCUAGGUGUAAGCCACCGACUUUGGUACAAAAAACCGGCAUUCAAAUCAAACGGAUUGACGGAGAGAAAAAAAAAAAAUACGGUGUUGGGUAAUUUUUUAAAAUGCACAUAUCUUCGACGUGGUUUCGGUGCCGCUUGAACAUCGUUACAUAACGCUCGAUUGCGCGGCGAGUGUUUUGCAAGACGAAACCGACAAGCGUACAACAGAUAAUAAUAGUAAUAAUAAUAAUAAUAAUAAUAAUAAUAAUAGCAUAAGCAAUUCGAACAAUAGGCUCGAACCAUAACGUGUAUUAAAAUGCGAUAUUAUGUAUUAAAAUGCGAUAUUAUGUAUUAAAAUGAACUCUUCGACGCAUACGCGUGUACACAAGACACACGUAAGUUGACCGACAACGAUUUGUUUAUUGACGACGAUGACUUAAUAAAUAUAAUAUUGUUCGUGUAAAUACAACGUCUAUCGUGUGAGCGCGUUCGUGUUUCUUUACCGAUCACACGCGUGCACCAGGGGUGGAUCCAGACCAAGAUAACGUAGGGGGGGGGCGAUU